rnacentral:lncRNA from 1 species
UCUAUAAUAACUUUUUAAUUUAAUUAUAAUUCUACAACUCUUAAUUCCUAAAAAUCAUAAUUUUUUUUCACUAGUUUUUAUCAACCUUUCUUUACUACUAACAUAAUAAUAUUAAAAAAAGGUAUAUUACCAAUCCUUUACUUAAAAGGUUGUAUGCUGCAAGGCAACAACCUUUUAUUAGAUUAUAGACUUUGGCAUUUCUUCGGGUAAGAGAGAGGAAGCUGUUUCGUGUUAUAGGGACAGUGUCAUAGGGACAGAAGGGGCAUUUUGGAUAUAUAUAUAUAUAUAUAUAUAUAUAGAGAGAGAGAGAGAGAGAGAGAGAGUCUACUAUAUUCUUAUGAGUACAUAGUCCUACUUAUAAGCUGUUUUUGAUAAUGAAGCUUCUAAAUCGACAAUCCACUCUGUUAAAUAUGAUCUAUAGUAUUUGAAAUUUCUAAAAACUAAAUUUCGUAAUUUUUUAAAAUCAUAAUAAAAUCCAUUAAGUGAGAAUAAAAUAAACGGUUAAAAUCGAAUGAUAUCCUAAAGAUGAAUGAUCGAAUCCUUCAAUUUAAGAUUGGAAUUAUUGAUCUUUAUCUAGACAGUGAAUAAAAUUUUUUAUCAAAAAUUCAACAGAUUUCGAUUUUUUUACACAGUUAAACUAGUAAAUAUCUCAUACCAGCCGUUAAAAAUUAUCAAUUUUGAAAUCUUUUGAUCGCAAGAUAAAUAAUAUCAANGGGCCGUUGCAUCUGCGUGUAUCCGUAGGACCGCAAUACCCAUCUCACGGCUCACGUUAGUCAUCGGUGCGGCUCUAAUAAACGGGGGGAAAGAAUCGUACGGCAGGCAUGGUCCACCUCAAAAACGCGUGCGGAGUAAUCGAGGGGCACACAAAUCCACCGUCCAAUGAGCCUCCAAAUGAAAUCAGGAUCGUCAAUUGAUGGACGGUACGAUCAAAUUACCCGAGUGGUUAAAGCGAUGGUUGUGUUCCUAGUGAAGUCCGACAGUGUUUUUUUGUCGUUUUGUGACUUCGCUCUCUUAGCAUGUACGCUUUUACGCACAGCGAGUGCAGAAGAAAACAAGAGAAAAGACGGGAAAGAGUACAGAGAAAGGGAAAACCGGUACGGAGACGAAACAAGGGCGAUAAUUUCUCUGGGAAUUAGUAGAGAUGGCAAAAUUAGUGCGGAUAAAGAAACAAAGGACUUUGUGUGGAAAAUAUCAUCGCCACACACUGAAAAAUAAAAAAAAAUAAAGGAAAAGACAGGGAGGGUGGGGGGAGGGGGGGAAGGGGGAGUAAAAGAACUCUACUGGAGAUGUCCUUACAGAGUUGCAUUGCAUCUCUGGUAAAACAGAAUAGAUCCCCUCGAAAUUUCAACUCUAAGAUCCACAAAAGCAAGAGAACCUCAGAAAAAGGAAAACUAAUUGAAAUAUAUAACUAAUUGAUAUAUAUCACUGCUUAUAGUUGAUACUUAGACUGUGUGCUUAAUUAGCAUAUAUGCACCGAUCGCUAAAACAAACAUAACAGCUAACACAUCAAGAAGCAAAAAUCACCAAAUAAUUUCACAACAUCAGAUGCUUAAAAAAAAAAUAAAAAAAACCUACAACCAGUUAUACCAGUGCUUAAUUAGCAUAUAUUGAUCGAUGCGACUAAAAGCAACUAAUAUAUUAGCAACGAUCAGUAGAGCAAAUUUAAGAAUUAACACACGGAGAGCAGCUAAAAAAAUCGGUUGAUCUCACGAGAUCAUAACAAAUGCUGAGCAAUUAGGAGAUGUACCUUGAAUCCGACGCAGCGAAAACCGCAAUCGGAGAAGGAUUUCGAGAGGCCCAGAUCUGGUUCACGAAUCGCUUCCCGAAGCUUCCCGCGAUCGCUCGCCCCUUCGAAUUAGCGGCCAUGCAAAANAUAAACGGUUAAAAUCGAAUGAUAUCCUAAAGAUGAAUGAUCGAAUCCUUCAAUUUAAGAUUGGAAUUAUUGAUCUUUAUCUAGACAGUGAAUAAAAUUUUUUAUCAAAAAUUCAACAGAUUUCGAUUUUUUUACACAGUUAAACUAGUAAAUAUCUCAUACCAGCCGUUAAAAAUUAUCAAUUUUGAAAUCUUUUGAUCGCAAGAUAAAUAAUAUCAAAAAAUUAUAAAAUUUGAUUUCUAAAAAUUUUAAAUGCUCUAAAUAACGUUUAACGGUAUGGAUCGUCGAUUCGAAAGUUCUACCAUAAAAAACGACUUAUAAAUACAAAAACAAUCGUACUCAUAAGAAUAUAGUAGCCGAACUAUAUAUAUAUAUAUAUAUAUAUAUAUAUAUAUAGGUUUUGUGUGCUAUUAGGAGCAGCCGUUUUCGAUGAUGAAGCUUCCGAAUCGACGAUCGGCUCCGUUAGACUUGAUCUACCAUAUUUGAACUAUCUAAAAAAUAAAUUUUACGAUUUAUCGAUAUCAUUACCUACCGAUCGUAAAGGUUCAAAAUCAGAUAAAAUUUUAAUAGAAAAUUCUUUAUACUAUUUACAGCAAAUUUAAUAUUUCUGAUCGAAAAUUUUAAUACUAUAGCACCACUUUUUGUGAGAUUUUUAUUUUCAGCCGUUGUUUUUUAUUCCUUUCAAUCGUUAGGUAAAUAUUAUCGAAAAAUAACAAAAUUUAUUUUUUAGAUAUUUCAAAUACGCAAGAUCAAGUCUAACGGAAUCAAUCGUCGAUUCAGAAGCUUUAUCAUCGAAAACAGCUUAGGAACACUAAAGACCUCUGUACUCCUAAUAGCACUCAGAAGACCUUCUCUCUCUCUAUAUAUACAUAUAUAUAUAUAUAUAUAUAUAUAUAUAUAUAUAUAUUCGUCCGAUACCAUCGGGGCAGGCGCCAAGAACGUGACAGGAACUGGAAAUCGAGAUGGAUAAGAGCAAAUCUCACUCGUACGCGUGGCCUCCGAUGGAAAGGUUGGUGACUGACUACCAAACGAUCAGGGCCGUUGCAUCUGCGUGUAUCCGUAGGACCGCAAUACCCAUCUCACGGCUCACGUUAGUCAUCGGUGCGGCUCUAAUAAACGGGGGGAAAGAAUCGUACGGCAGGCAUGGUCCACCUCAAAAACGCGUGCGGAGUAAUCGAGGGGCACACAAAUCCACCGUCCAAUGAGCCUCCAAAUGAAAUCAGGAUCGUCAAUUGAUGGACGGUACGAUCAAAUUACCCGAGUGGUUAAAGCGAUGGUUGUGUUCCUAGUGAAGUCCGACAGUGUUUUUUUGUCGUUUUGUGACUUCGCUCUCUUAGCAUGUACGCUUUUACGCACAGCGAGUGCAGAAGAAAACAAGAGAAAAGACGGGAAAGAGUACAGAGAAAGGGAAAACCGGUACGGAGACGAAACAAGGGCGAUAAUUUCUCUGGGAAUUAGUAGAGAUGGCAAAAUUAGUGCGGAUAAAUAAAUAAAUAAAUAAAGAACUUUGUGUGGAAAAUAUCAUCGCCAGGCACUGAAAAAUAGGAAAAAUUAAGGGAAAAAAAAAAAAGAGGGGGAGAAGUCAAAAAAACUCUACCGAAGAUGUCCUUACAGAGUUGCAUUACAUCUCUGGUAAAACAGAAUAGAUCCUAUCGAAAUUUCAACUCUAAGAUCCACAAAAGCAAGAGAACCUCAGAAAAAGGAAAACUAAUUGAAAUAUAUAACUAAUUGAUAUAUAUCACUGCUUAUAGUUGAUACUUAGACUGUGGAAGCAAUCAUGGUAAUAGCACCGAUCGCUAAAACAAACGUAACAACUAACACAUCAAGAAGCAAAAAUCACCAACUAAUUUCACAACAUCAGAUGCUUAAAAAAAAAAAAAAAAAUCUCACAACUAGUUAUACCAGUGCUUAAUUAGCAUAUAUUGAUCGAUGCGACUAAAAGCAACUAAUAUAUUAGCAACGAUCAGUAGAGCAAAUCUAAGAAUUAACACACGGAGAGCAGCUAAAAAAAUCGGUUGAUCUCACGAGAUCAUAACAAAUGCUGAGCAAUUAGGAGAUGUACCUUGAAUCCGACGCAGCGAAAACCGCAAUCGGAGAAGGAUUUCGAGAGGCCCAGAUCUGGUUCACGAAUCGCUUCCCGAAGCUUCCCGCGAUCGCUCGCCCCUUCGAAUUAGCGGCCAUGCAAAUCAGCAAAUGAGAGGAGUGAAAAUAGGAGAGAGAGAGAGAGAGCGAAAAGAAAGGUAAAAACGAAGGGAAAGGGAUAGAGAAUGGACGGGCCCUUUUCCAUUGGUAGCACCAGCUAUUUAUAGCCUCGCCCGCACUCACUCCCACAGCCCACCAACCCGCCCCGUUUACUACGCCGUUAACGUUUUCAUUCCCUUCUAUUGACGGCGCUCCUAACGGCGUUAGAGCGGAGGCAAGCCACGUGAGUGGAGCGAAUAUUUUGGAGCAUAUUCUACAUACAGUCCGAAGCGUCCCUCCAGAUGCUGUUGGUCUCCUGCUAGUGCAUGAAAUUACCAAAACGCCCCGCGACGUUUGGUCUGGUCACUGACACGGUGAUAGUAGCCAAACUAACCGACAAAAAUAAUCUGUUAUACUUCUGGUAAAAAAAAAAAAAAAAAGUUAAAAUAUAGUGAAUUGCAGGAAUAUUCUUACAAAGUUCAAUUUUCAUAAAUUAUUUCUAUAAAAAUCUAAAUAUAUUUAGAUAUGUUCCUUUGAUUAGCAUCCGUUAGAAAACUGUUUAUUUUUUAACAGUAGAUUUGUGAAAUAACAUUUUUACCCUCACAAAUAUGUUUGUUCAAAAGCUCUAGCUGGUAUACUUUUGCAGAAAUGCCCUCACAAAUAUCCUUUUUUUUCUUUCUCUUCUUUUUUGGGCUACUGGAGCGGACGGCUCCGGCGACGUCACGGAGCUUGUCGGAGUUGUGGCCGACGAGGACGAGGUUGAGGCCCGCAGCGGCGAUGCGGAAGGCGAUGGUGCGGCUGAUUUGGAAGCGCUCGUGAUGACGGCCCCGCGAGCACGACGAUCACAUCAUCAACGACGACAAUAACGAAGAAGAAGAAAGAAGAGAAAAGGAGGAGAAAAAAGAGGAUACGAAGAAGAAGAAUAAGAAGAAGGAGGCAGCGGAAGUUGUUGUCCGGCAGCCGCCACACUUACCUCAGCCGAAGGCGCCGCUGGGGAUGGCGAGGUCAGCGCCGAUCUCUCACGAGGAGCACCACCCGAUCUUUCUUCUCCACCACGAUCGUUUGCCGCAUCUCCUUCCUCGCGAGCGACGGCGACGACGGCCACUCCGACAAGCAGAAGAGGGAGAGGAAGAUGAAGAGAAAGAGGAAGAAGAAGAAGAAAAAAAUUAUCAAUUCACCCUAUUAAUUAAUCAUGGUUAAAUAUUUUAACUGUGGUUAACUAAAUUUCUGUAACAGAUCCUAAUGGUAAGCACAUAUCUGAAUACAUUAAGAUUUUUGCUGGAAUAACUUAUGAAAGUUGAACUUUGCAGGGAUAUUUGUAAUUCAUCAUAUUUGUAGGGACCUAUAUAAAAUUAACCAAAAAAAAAAUGUCAUAGCUGUAAUCCCAGCUUCAGAGAUUGGAAGCAAUAAAAUAAAUUGGUAUUAUUUUAUGAUUAUUAUUACUAUUAUUAAAAACGAUUUCAAAGUCAGUAUAAGUUAAUGCCCGUCUAGUGUGGAGGGAAACUUGAUCUCAGGCUCUUAAUAGGGGACGUUUGGAUCUAAUGGAACUCAAAUGCUAUGUUAUUUAAAUUUUUUUAAAGUAUAAUUAUUUUCUAUUAUUUAUUUUAAUAUAACUCGUAUAGUGUUAAAUUUAAUUACCUUUUUCGUUUGUUUCGAUGUAAUUUGGUACUGAUAAAAUUAAUUUUUUGAGUUCUAUUGUUCAUUUUGAUACUUCUAUAAAAUUUAAUUUAUUAAAUAAUUAAAUUUUCGUUAUUGUUUGGAAGUAAACUUAACUUAUUGUAAAAAAAAAAAUAUCUCUAAUUCAUUUUAAAGGAAGUAGAGUUUAGAUUCUAAUAUUUAAUAAAUUUUUUAGUUAAAGUUGAGAGUAGUGAAACUUGAGUUCAGUACUUUAGAGAAAACAGUCAAAAGUAAGUAAAAUGAAGGUCUAACGUAAUUUAAAUUACAAUAUUUUUUAACUUGCACCAAAAGAAAUAUUAAAAUAAUGAAACUUAAGUUUCACCCCUCCAAUAAUCAAAUAGCCCUUUAAAUGAAAGUAAAAGAUACCUAUCAAACCGACUGUUCAUAACACAAAUAGUAAAGAGUUUAGUGGUUGGUAUUCGAGAUCCCAAAUUCGAAUACUAGUUAAUUAAUAUUUUCAGCUAAGUUUAUUAUUUAAAGAAAAUAAGCGCAACGGAUAGCAUGCUAUAUUUUUUUUAAAAAAAAACGACAAACUUUAUAUCAUUGUGGUUGAUUAGUUUAUCCUGCCAUUGGCAUCUAGCACGAAAAAAAGUUGUUCAUUUAUUGGUUUAUUAUGCAUUUGUUCUCCAUCGUAUUAUUUGCCCGUUAUAGACUAGCUACUUGAGUGCGGCAUUAGAAAAUUUGAAAUUUUUAAGUUGGUUUUCUUUGUCCUAGAAGUGGAAGAAUUUUAUUUCGAGUGCUUUAACUUUAGAAAACUUUUUUUUUUUUUCUUGUUGUAAUGCAAUCUCCUAUCUUUUGUAUUAUUAAAAAUUUCUUUUGGGAUGACUAUUGCCAUAUAUAGAGGAAUAUUGACUAAACUAAUAUUCGAUAUUGCGUGAAGAAAGGCCAGUGAAUAGUGGUACGUUUUUGUCGAGCUUGCAACAUGACAAUUACUUUAUCUUUCUAAGUUAACCUUAAACUUAUACAUCUUCUUUAGGAUAUGUGUUGCAUCGAUGCUCAAAUUUGCGUAAUCCAUAUGGAAUUGGAUAUGAUAUUCUACUAUAAAUAUUAUUUUCUCAUCAAUUACCACUAAAAUCAAGACUUGCAUCUUUGAAGAGAACUGUUAGAGAAAGUCCCAAUAAUUUAUUCUUUAUAAGCAUUCUUCUAUUUGCACUAGAUUUUUGAAAAUUUAUAUUUUUUUAAUUUGCAUGUUCUGAAUUUUCUCACUGCUAUAAAAUAACGGAGAAAAAAUAAAAAAAUUAUGUUAUAAUUAGUUCUAAAAUUUUCCCCCCCUUUCCUUAAAACUCAACUAUUAGGUCAUUUCCUAAAUUAUGUCAGCAAUUCCCAGAAAAGUCAAGAGUCGGUGGCAAGAGAAUUUGUUCGGAUAAGAAUUAAAUAAUUGCUCACGAAAAUGUAAUUGUCGUCUCCAUUAAAUUAAGUUGUUCGCCUAUGACUACUCUUCUAUUAUCUUCUCAGUACGUACUCCCUAGCUUUGUACUAAGAGGAGUACUUCUAUAUAGCUUUCUAAUGUUAUUUUAGCUAAAAAGAUUAAAAAAACAAAAUAGCAGUGCAUUAUUUAAAUUAUUGUCGAUUAGUUAGAUUUCAUGGUAUAGCGUGGUUCAUCUUAUACACCAUUAUAUAAUUUUUUUCUUUUGAAUUUGGCAUUCAGGUUGGAGGAAAGAUUGUGUCUUUUCAUUAAAAUUUAUAAACAGUUUUCUAGUUUUAUUUUUUAUCUAUUAUUUUUUGUUCAAAGGAAGCAUUAAAGUAAGACUACAAAGACAACUCGGAAAGCGCCGCGAAGCUUCCUCGGCGUCAUUUCAAUUCCCAGAUGUUAACUUUGAAUGAAGUUCCUGUCACUGUCGAACACUUACAAUUCAAUGGGAGAUAUUUUUGGCCCACUCUAUAGCUUUGAUCAUUAAAAGUUGAUAUAAUCAACUGUAAUUAACUUGAGCAUCCUCCACAUGUCAUAGUUUGAUAGGCAUUUAAUACCAUAUAUUGUCUAAGAGUUGAUUAAUAUGGAUUAGCCACCGCUAAAACGACAUUUAACAGUAAAUCAGCAACGUCGGUGGUUAUUAAUUAAUAGCAAUGAUAAAGUUCGUGGUUUAAAAAACGAAAAUUUUCAUUAGAUGAAAUAUUUAUAGAGGCUUCAAAUGGAAGUACCUACUUGGUGUAAUAGGAAAUAUAAAAAUACAAAUUAAUUAAAAAUAAAAGGAAAAAAUUUUAAAGAUUUCACACAGAAUUUCGAAUCUACUAGGGUGAAAAACAAAAUCAGUUUAGAUGCUACCUGUCUUUAUCCCACUUUUGGAAAGGCCCACUAAGGAAGGCAAGCGGCUCCUUUGUUCUUAAAAAAAAGGGGUAAUUGAUACUCCUGAAAAUAUUUCGAUUUUUUAAUUUAUCUUUUUUAAAAAAUUAAUAUUAAAAAUAUUAUUUUUAUAUUCAAGUUAUUUUAAAUAUAUCUCUAGGGUUAAAUUUUGUUAGUGAACUGUUAUCAAUAACCAUUAUUUCUGUGAAAUUGUUAUUUUAUCCUUUCAAAUAUACUUUCUUUUUGAGAGAUAGGUAGCACGCUACCAGCUUCGUUUAUUUCAUUAAGAAAUAAACUUAGCUGAAAAUGUGAAUCAACUAGGAUUCGAAUUUGGGUGUCGGAUACCAACCACCAAGCACUUUGCCACUUGCUCUAGGGACGGUCGGUCUUUCAAAUAUACUUUCUAUCGUCACCAACUUUUCUUAUUUGCCAUUCAGUUAGGAAAAAAAAAGUAUUUUAAUUUUUAAUCUUUUCAAAUAUACUUUUCUACUAUCACCAACUUGUCUUAUUUGCCCUUAAGUUAAAGACAAAAGAGAUAUAUAUAUAUUUUUUAACUCUGUUAGAUAUUUAACUCACGUUUAAUCUGAAAUAACUUAACGGGUAGUAACUGCAGGGGCAUUUUGAAUAACAGAGAAAUAUAUGAGGGAUAUAUUAAAAACCAAAAAAAGGAGUAAAUUAGAUAUUUUUGAAAUUUUGAGAGGUAUAUGGACAAUUAUCCUUUCUUAAAAAUAUUAUGAAAAAAAUCUUUUAAGAAAAAUAUUUUUGUGAUUUUCUUUUUCAAUUUUUUGUCCUUCUAGUUCUUAAAAAAAUAUUUUUUUCAUAUUUUAUGAGAAAUUAGUGUUUUUGUUUUUCAAAAAAAGGUUCAAAAAACAAAAACAAUAAUUUUCCGUAAAAUCUAGAAAAAUGUUAUAAAUUUUUUUUUCCUUUUUUAAAUUAAAUGCGCUAAAAAAAAAUUCAUAAAAAACAAUCUUUUCCAUGCAUUUCCUAGGAACGAAGCAGCACUUAGAAAGCUCUAUUAUUUAAUCUCAUCCAAAAUGAAACUUUGUUGACAGAUUGGAGGUUUUUUUUUUUUUUUUUGAGAGAAUGACAUGCUACCCGCUUCGUUUAUUUCGUUUAAAAAUAACAAAACUGGAAAUGUGAAUCAGCUAGGAUUCAAACUUGGGUCUCGAAUAUCAACAACCAAACUUUUUUGCCACUUACGUUAGGAACAGUCGGUUGCCAGAUUGGAGUUAAAAGUAAAAAAGUGCAAUAAAGUCUAAAAAUAACGACUUCCGUUCAGAGCCUUCUGUUUUGCUGAUGUUUGGAUGGAUUGCCAUAAACCAUAAACUCCAAUUGGUACUGCUGAAAUAUUCUUUAUAGACAAAUACUAUACCCUACUGUAGAACUAAAACUUUUUUUCAUUCUCACAAGACAACCCAUGUUCAAGAACAAGAAUAGACAAAAAGCUAAAAAAUCUAAGGUAUCGUUUAGUUUAGAGAUAAGUAAAAAAUAGUUAUUCUAGGGAUAAGUAUAAAUUGAGGUAUAAGUCAAGAUUAAAUUAAUUUUAUGUUUAAUUGAAAAUUGGGUUAUUUCUAGGAAUAAAAAAAAUAACGUUUGGUUAAGUAAGAUGGAAUAAGAAUUAAAGUGGAUAGUUAUAAAUAAAAAAUAAUGAUAUUAUCCCUAUCCUAAUAUUUGAAUUUGAAUUUUUAAAUUAUAUAUAUAUAUAUAUUUUGAAAUCUAAAAUUUUAAUUUUUAAAUUUCAAAAUUUCAAAUUAAAUUUUAAAAUUUAAAAUCUCAAAAUUUAAAUUCAAAAUUUUAAAUUUUAAAUUUUAAAUUUCAAACUUUAAAUUUAAGAUCAAAUUUAAAUUUAAAAAAUAUAAAAUAUCAAAUUUUAACAUUUAAAAAUUUAAAAUAUCAAAUUUAAAAUUUAAAAUUUAAAAUUUUGAAAAUAAAAAUAGGGGUGGAACAAUUAAUAAAAAUAAUUUAUUAUAAUAAAUUUAUAAAUUUGAUAAUAAUAAUUUUUUUAAUAAAUUUAUAAAUUUUUUAUUAUUAAUAAUUAAUAUUUUUUAAAAUUCUACUUAAGCUUAAAUUUAAUAAAAAAAAUUUUUAUAAUAUUUAAAUAUAAUUUAUUAUUAAAUUUAUUAUAAUAUUUAAUAUUUAAAUAUAAAAUAAUAUGGAUUAAUAUAGGAUAUUAAUAAUUAAUAAUAAAAUAAUAUAUUAUAUAUAUACUAUUAUAUUUAUAUAAUUUAGUUUUAAUUUAAUUUAUAUUUUUAAUAAAUUUGAAAUUAAAAUUUGGAAUAGCACUAUUCCAUCAAAAUAAUUCCUUACUAUCCGGAAUAGUCGGGAAUAACAAAAUUUGACUAGAUAAAAUAUUCCGGCCAAAAAUUAUUUCGUUUGGCGAAUAGCGGAGUAACAUUCGUUAUUUCCGCUUAUACCGCAACCAAACGGGCCUAAGAAAAUGUUCACGGAAUUAGAUUAGUUUUUCAUCCCAGAAUAUAUUUGUGACGUGAGAGAUUGCACAGAUUAAUGGUCAAAUCUAGAAAACUAUACAAGAAAUAUAUAAUGUAAUUGCGUCCCAUGAAUCAGAUUGGUCCCACUGCUGGGCCCAAAUCUACACAGCGUGCGUGGCGUGGCGGGUGGGAUGUGUUCGGAGAUUGACCCAUUGAGUUGUGUUGGACAUAAAAGAUGAUAAGUUAGGAAUUAAAUGGCCGUGCCGGACCGUAUGACGGGGAGUACUUAUCCUAGUUAGUAAAUUUGCGAAUAAUACGUAAAUUAUUCGUAAAUUUUUUAAUAGCCGAAUUAAACGCACUAAACGUAUUUUGUUUCCAAAAGUGCGAAAAAAAAAGCGUUUUUAUCUCCAAAAAUAAUUAUCAGUGAAUAUUCGCGAUUUCCAAUAAUUCGCUCAAAAAUCGGCGGCGACGCUCGCGUUGUCGUCCUCCUCCGCCGCCGCCCUAUGCCGGCGCCGGAGCAAGAGGGCUGCAGCUACGGUUCCUGCCUCACCCGACGCAUCCUUUUCGCCAAAAAAACGACCUGGCCAGUCGGCGACGCUCGUCGUCGUCCUCUCCUCCGCGCCGCCCUGGCCGAUGCGCGGAGCAAGAGGGCCGCGGCUACGGUUCCAUCUCGCCCGACGCCGUCUGCGACUCCUCGUGCGUCCGCAGAAAAAAAAAAUGAAUAGAAAAAAAUCACGGCGUUUGCGCGCGGUCUCGCAGGAAAGACAAUGCCGCGGUCCACGAGCGCCAUUGGCCUCGGUGGACCGGAUGACGUGGCUCCUCUCAUUAUAUAUAUAUAUAUAUAUAUAUAUUAUAUAUUAUAUAUAUAUAUAUUUUAUUUAUUAAUAUUUUAAAUAAUAUUAUAAUAUUAUUAUCAUAAUUUUAAUAUAUAUAAUUAUUAAAAAUUAUAAAUAAUAAUAUAUAUAUAGUAUAUUAAUUUUAUAUAGCCGAAUUUUUUAUUCCGAAUUUUUAAUGAUAAACGUAUAUUACCCGUAUAAAUCACGUUAUCCGAAUAAUUACCGAAUCCGUUUUUUAGUCGUAUUUUUCAACGAAUUUAAAAAUUAGAAGACGAAUUUUAUCGAAAUUAUAUCCGUACCGAAUUUGCCGAAUCCGAAUUAACUAACUAUGGUACUUACUCGACCCGAGAUGUCACCGCCCUUUAACUAACUAUGGACUUACUUCGACGAGAUGUCACCGUCCUCUCGCGUGCGCAUAUUGUUACGACCUAUAUUAAGACCUGGGAGAGGCUCCAUUGCCAUAUAUAUUUCCCUGAGAAUUUUAUUUUGCUUUUGAUCAUUGAUGAGAUCACUCACGAGUUCAAAUUUUUAUGAAAGUAUGGGGUUUAAAAUAUUCUUUGGCAUUAUUUAGUUUUUUAAUGCCUUUUAAUUAGGCUCUUUUGAUUGAUGUUGCCUUUUUUUAAAAAUUAAUUUUAAACACUAAUUAUACAUAGUUAAAAAUUAACCAUAAAGAUUCGCUUAAUUGCAAUGAAUUCUAACUAAAUAAUGAGUAAUAAUUUAUUGAAAAAAAUUAUAAAAAUAAAAAAUAUUUUUAUUUUUUUUUUAUGUCAAAGUAUCAAACAAUACUUGUAUGUAAGAAUUGCGAUGCAAUUUGUCAUCCCUUCUGCACAUAAAUUAUAUGUAGAUUUAUAUUUUGAAAAAAUUAAAGAAAUAGUAGCGACGUCUACGAGGCGUUAAAAUUUUGUUAAUGCACGUGAUUCGAUGAAAUGUUUCAGGCGUAUGCCUCACAUGAAAUAUCUGUCUGCGAGAGAAAACCCUUCUUCCUCUGCGGCAUGCCAACUAAAGCAUGGGCACGAAGAGAACCAAAAAAAAAAAAAAAAAAAAAAAAAAGGAAAAGAAAAAGAAAAAGACCACCAAGUCAUCAAACAAAGAUCUAAAUGGGCCGGGCCCGGCCCGACCUUCAUUCCUCUUUGAAACCCCGCUUAGGACAUGAUCCGGCCCGCAAAAAGAAGGGCGUAAAAUCAAAAUGGGCCGGGCGCAGAGUCUUCAUCUUAAACCCUUCCCCGUUUCUCUCUCGCUCGCCAACUCCGACACGUCAAACCCUUUCACGGGGCGGCCGCCACCCUCCUCCGCCACGGCGCCUCGUUCCAUUCCAGGUAGAAAACUUCAAAGCAUAACAAAAUAAAAUUUGGUUUACAUACUAGUUCUAAAUAAUCACAAAUUAUUAUUCUUUUGAUUUCGAUAUUAAGAGGUAGAGCGGGAAUUACUUGUUGUGCAAGUAUAUAUUUAUGUAUAUCUUUUGAUGAUACGAACCCUAAUUCAAAUCAAUUCACAGAUUUGCAGCUACCAGGUAGAAACCUGCUUUGAUCAUCAAUUGGACGCUCUUCAAAUUUGUCGCAUAUAGAAAAAGAGAAAGGUAAAGUUACUAUAUAAUCAUGUAUUCAUAUGUUACGCGCGUUUGGGGCAAUUCAACAAAUAUCUUAAGAGCGUAAAAUUUAGAGUGUAAGUGCUUUCCAUGAGAGAUCACUUGAUAAAUUAUAGUUAGAAGCUGUUAAUUAGCAUGUUCGAAAUUAUUUGUUGUAGUUAAUAUGAUAUAGUAAGGUAGUGUUUGGUUCGGGAACAAGGGAGAGAAUAAGCCCUUGUUCCCCCCUUUGUUCCCAAACGCAGCGUUUGGUAACCGAGAACAGUAGUUUUCGGAUUUUUGGAACUAGCUGGUAUAAGACUGGAACUAGCUGGAAUUGUUGUUCUACCUUUUUCCUGGAACAAGCUUGUUCCCGAAUGAGAACAAGAUUAAUUAAAUAUAAAUUUAAAAUUUAAUGAUAGUAAACUAUUAAUUAAUCUAAUUAAUAUAUUUGAAUUAUUAUCUAUUGCUUAAAUAAUAAAAUAAAUAAAUAAAUAAUGAAUUAUAAUUAAUUAUUUAUAAUUAGAUAAUAAUAAUUAUUAAUUUAAUAAUUAUUAUUUAUUAAUAAUUAUUAAUUAAAUAAUUAUUAUUAAUAAUUAUUAUUCUUAAGAAAUAGAUAAUCGAUAUUAUUAUUAAUUUAUUAUUUAUAAUUAAUUAUUAAUAAUUAGAUAAUUAUUAUUAAUUAAUUUAUUACUUAUAAUUAAUUAUUAAUAAUUUUACUUAUAAUAAUUAAUAUAAGUAAUAAUGUUAAAAAAUAAUUAAUUAAUUAAUUAAGUAAUAAUUAUUAAAAAAAUUCAUAUAACUAAUUAAGUUACUCAUUAAAGGAAAAAAAAGAGGAGGACCGUAAUAAAGAAAGCCAGGAAAGGAAGUAUUAUUACUUAUAAAAUAGAAAUAUAAAAAUAAGUAUAAUUAAUUAAAUUAAGUGAAAUAGUUAAAUUAAUAAUUAUGAAUGUGAGUAGGGGUAGGGGAUUGUUGAGUUUAUCUAAUUUAUUAUUAUUUAUUUCUUAACUUAUAUUUGAAUGUAUAAUAUAUCUAAGAUAAUAUAAUGUUAAUUUCAAAUUAUAACUUUUGAUUCCUUCUAUUCAUUUAACCCAUCCAAUUGAGAACGCUAUUUACCUUAUUCCUAGUAACAACCAUGUCAUCGCAAACAGGUAAAAUUGGCUCUACGUUCCUCGCUUAUACCUGAAGCUUCGUACCUAUCCUAUGCCGGAACAACAUUCUACGUAUACCAUGAAGCUCAAACCAGCCUAAAUACGAGCCUCAUUAUAAUGAGGACAUAAUAAGAUGUAAAUAUCAUAUUAUCAUGUCUUUUCUACUAACUCUGUUUUUCUUUUAUAUUAAUUUCUAAUUUUUUGUCGGAAUCAAUUAGUGUACCUAACAAUUUUAUGGAUAAUGAGUGGCCCUCAAAUAAUCCUCAUCGUAUCAGGUUCUGUUACACGAAAUCGAUAAUCCUUAUGAUAUCAAGUCUCUUUCGUCUCUUCUUCCAUCCUGAACUAACUUUAGUAUAAUUGGAACUACGAUUUUAACAAUAGUGUAACUAAUAUAUAGACCUUAGUAUCUACAACCGUUGGCAUGGUAGUGCCUCAGAGCACCAAUUGAAUGAUUCAUUCAUAAUAGCAUGAUGUACUUUAUCUUGACAAUUGAUGGUUUAAACGAACACGUAACGGAUUGCAAUAUUUUCUAGUUGAAGUCAUUUGAUGGGAAAACAUGCUGAGUGUUUAUUUUCAUCUUAUUCUAUACCGGCAUGUGGUUAAGAGAUCGGGGCUAAAAUAUAACACACUUAUUGUGACGCAAUUGAUUACGGUGACGUACAGACGUUACAAUUAUAUCUGUCAAAAUAUACACUGCAACUAUACUACCGAUGUGUUAUUGAAUAGACCUAAGUUCAUUAUUAUGCGAUAUUUUUAUUCCAAGCUAGCAUAUUAGUGUAAGCGCUCCAAAUUUCCACAUCGUAUCGGAUCUUGAUGCUCCGAUUACUGUAAUAUAACUAGCCCUACACCUAUUAAUAAUAAAUGUCGUUAAGUAUUUUGGACUGGUUGUUGGGGCGUCCAACAAGUUAUUACGCUGCAGGUUUGGUUUUUUACAAUUUUGUAAUCAAACGACCGAAUAACCACCGGAAGUGAGAAGAUAAGUGCUAUCGGGGACACCAAUACUACACCAACCGUUGGGGAGCCACGUCUCUUGAAACCGUAGAAGCACCUCUAGAAUCUCACAUGUUGUCUGAAUACUGUUCGCUGAUGACCGGUUUGUAUCUGUGAUCUGGUUGGACCGACGCUGGACUCAUGGUCUAAACAGGGUCGGAGUUUUGUAACGCUCCCCAAAAUCCCACCAAUCGAUGAACCUGAUGCCACGUCCGGGUCCAAAUAGGCGAGAGUUUGGGACCUCGAAUGUCCGGCACAUCGUCAUGGAUAUCUGAUUCCUCGAUCGUUUUAUAAUGAGACUCCUUACAUCCGCUAUUAAUCAAUAAAUGGCUUAACGCAUUUUUGCCGAUUUUUGGGCCCCACGAGUUAUUAUUUCUAAGCCACGCCGGUUCGUAUACACCUUUGGUAUAUACAGCCGAAUACCAGCACGGACAGUCGUUGAGAGCUAAUGUUAAUCGCGACAAACUGCUACACGUAACGAUUGGUGAAAGGCACCUCUUUGAACCCAUAAAGUAGCCAGCCGGGCAGGAGCCACACUUCUAGAACUCACCAUCCCUGAUAAUACGGUUCUUGUCCUGCUGACCUGGUUGAUUCUCGACGAGUAAGUCAGGUCUAAACGGUGGUUUGUAACUCUCCCAGAUGAGUUCCACAAUCGAUAGAUACUGAUUCUCGAUUAUUAUACUAUAUGCCGUAUCACCUAGUAGAGAGAAUGCAGUUAAGCCAUUUUGGGCUGACUGGGUUUUGGCCCAAACGAGUUAUUAUCUGCUGGCGGGUCGAUUCGCUACAUAUUAGUCGAAUGCGGAAAGGUUUAGUCGGGUCCCUCGCUUGGCACGAUUCGUGUCCGUCCUACGCUUAUUUGGCGACCCCGCGAUUUGUUGUGGCCCUGUGCUUACCUGAUCUGCUUCCGACUGUUGUAGCGGUCCUGUUCUCUGUCCGAUAAUUAUUCGAUAGCAUAAAACUUCCGCUUCUUAGCAAAUUUUUCUAUUUAAAUUUUGCCGUAUUUUAGCCACGAAUUAGUGUUUACAUUCCUUUCCCUACAUCAAAGAAGGAGCAAAGUGAUUGCACCGAAUUGAGCCUUAGGCUGUGGAGAUGUUAGUGUGAAUGGAAGUAGAUAUAAAGACUCUUGUGCGUCACAUUUGCAAAACGCGGCAAAUGAGAAUCUGCCUUCAUAGUACCAAUUAUGUGUUUGCCCAUAUGUACCGGAAAGAACAUAAGAUAUAACAUCAUAGAUCAGCAAGCUAUGACGGAGGGACAGAUAUUUUCGUGUAGUUGCUAUCUCAUACUUCAGUCACUAAGCUUUUACUACUGACAUGUUUACAUGAAAAGUUCUUUCAGGCGGCGACUCAAUAGGACUAUGGGUACCGGUAUGCAGAUUUUCCCCCUUUUCAUAUAAAUUUCAUGCCUGAAAUUGGUUGUAACGGAUUUGUCUAUACUAUCCGAAAGCCUCACACAAAAUUCGAGACGCCCUUCGGUCAAAAGCUAUUUGUUGAUACAGGCACUAUAUGAGGCUACGUUCUUUGACCAAUACUUGUCUAAGCUUUCAUUGUUUGCUCGUCGAACUCAAUAUAAUCAAUUCACUUAAGAUCCUUAAUCGCACCUAGUACGUAGACAAAGGCAGUGACCUACGUCAUCGAAUAGUUAUUUACUAUUCAUUACAUAUAUGAUUCUCUUCUGUUUAAUGCCGCCCGAUGUUUAAGCACUACUAUCGUAACUCUUGUGGUCUAUGAUCCCACCUUAUUGAUUCUUCUUUCUGUCAGAGAGAAUCCGAAACAAACCAGAAGGUAAAGCGUAGCGUCAAUCAAGUGAACCUGUUAUUAUAUAAGGCAGAAGAUGAAUUAGUUCAUGAGGUAUAAUUGAAUUAACUACUAAUCUUGGAUAUAUAGCUAACUCUGUAUAUAUAUACUGACAUAUAACGUUGAAUAUAUGCUACUCUCUAAGUUUGAUUAUUUUUUAAGGCACUAUUUAUAGUUACCGACUUCCUCAUUCCAGACUCAGAAGUUUUACUUUUCUAGUUUCAUCCGCUGUGAGCACCCUUGUUCCAGACAACAGUAAUUUGCUAAUGUAGUUAUUUAAGUAUGCCAAUACUUGCUCUUUGUCUUAAUUACUCCCUGUUUUAUGUCCUUUUUUUCUAUUAUUAACCCAGAUUGGAUAAAUUAGAACCAUUAUAAAAUUUGAACUUUUGCGUCCCAUUGGAGUUUUCACAGCUUGUCUACAUAUUGUGUGUAAGUUGAUCUUUAUUUCCGAAUGUGAAUGAAGCAAAUUGAGUGGACAACCCAGAGCCUUUGCCUUCUAAGAGCACCUAGCAAUAGCCUUGAUAGCGAUUAGAUCCGUCCCUUUCUAAACUUUCACCCUGUUCGAUCUUCGCCAUGAUUCCACGGAGGUGUGCUUCCAUAUCACGUGCUUGUUGUGCCUAUUCAUUGAUUCCAAUCUGUCACUCAUGGUAAUUUGCGAUGCAUGUCCAACAGCUGAAAAGAGUGAUACCUUGGUCUUUUGUUCUUAAGCUGUAGAAGAGCAUCGCUCUUUAAAUUAAAAGAUGACUAACAUUGAAAAAGCCAAACAAAAUUGUAUCUUCUAAACAAGCUUUGUGAGUUCGUCCUAAAAUGAAAAUUGGGAAUUUUAAUGUGAAAGGGAUCAUAUCACGUCGCUGGUACAAAUGUAAUUUUCGGCUAUAGAACUAUUGUCCGUUCAGCUUUUUUACUAUAUAUUCUAUGACUAAGAAUCCUUAAUGCCUAUGAGCAAUUGCUUUCACAAUUUUAGAAAGGAUCUUUUGGCAAGAUACAUGCAAUUAUUAUUUUGCACAAAACGUCGCUAGAUAACUAUCUAGAAUGCUACAUGGUUAUUUGUCAUACCGUAUUCGAACACUUUUACAUAUUAUAAAAAGUUGUCUCACAGAAUUCCCAUCUCGAAAUAAAAUGAUGCAGCGGAGAUUGUAGCAGUCUGUUUAUAUGGUGAGUCGAAUAGCAUUGCGCGGCCUGCUAGCUUAACUUAUUGUCCGUCAUUGAAAGGAUGCUUAUACUGCUGGCCAUAUUUUUCCCUUCACUUGUGAUUAAUUUUAGUUGCUCAAAAGUUAUCAAGAAAGCACUGCAGUUAAAAUAUGCUGUAUUGAUAUAUUUCCAGUUCAUUUUUGUAAUGACUUGAAUAGUACUUAUCUUGAUUUUCAUUUGCAUCAACAACUGUACCAUAUUUCUUUUUUGUCAGUUGAAGAACUAUAUCCAAAAAAAAAAUUGGUCAAGUUGGUUGUUAAAGCUGACAGAUGUCUCCAAAGCUUUCGAGAAAAGUUAAAAAUCUUAGUAGCUGCUCGAAUUCAUGAUGCUUCAGCAUGAUAAUUUGGUGUAAAUAUAGUUGUUUUAUAGUUCGAGUAGUGUUGCCACUUAUUGUAGUUGAAUAUCAAACCAUUUUUCAUUGUUCAGCUUUUGCACAAACAUACAUUCACUAAGGUGAAAUUCCUUUCAAUUGUGGCAGACAGGACAAAUUUGUGUGUGGAAUAUCCCUGACAAGUAAGAUUUAGUUGCAAAGAUAGGGUGGAACGCAAAAUACUUUUGGCAUUUCCAUCUCCCUUCUUUUGUUAUUGUAAGUUGCAGGAUUGCCAAAUCUAUUUUACUUGUAGUUAGAGCUUAAACAGAAAAAUGCAUGACAAUCGUAAGAUGAUCGUGCCCUCGUUAUAUCCACAUUUAUGGGAAUUGGCACAUUAAUGUCUAUAGGCUAUCUCUGCAAAAUAAUUUCUAUCACUUUUGUACAUAACAAAAUGCUUAAUGGUACACCUUUUCUAAUUUCCAUAUCUAUUCUUCGAAUAUGAUACUUUUGCAAGUCCAGAAUGCACUAGAAUUCUCAAGAUAACCGAGUAGUUUUUAUCCAUGUUGAUUGUACUCUAUAUGAGUACGAGUACAUCCUUGUUAGAAGCAUGCCCUUUUUUCUAUUGGAUAUCUGCGAAUUCCUCUUAUUAGCGUGUUUAGAUAAUCAGAGUAAAUAUUUAAUGAUAUCUUAUUCCGUAAAAUCUUAUCACUGAAACUAGAGUAUGGUAUAAUCGAAUAUAGAUAUAUUCGAGCCUUCACAAUAAUUUUUUGACAUAAAAAAUUAUCUGUAAAUGAAUAUAUAUGCUACAAUAUUUGAUUCAAGAAUUUUUAAAGUCGAUAGAUGUGUCGGGAUCAAACACUUCAAGGUCCUCUUCCGAUGUGUAUAGCGGAGCGAAUACAAAAACGAGCCCCCAGAGUUAAAAGGAGUGUCGUUGAAAAGAGGAGUGAAUUGUAUAGGAUUCUGGAGAGGCUCUGGGUAUGCCCGCCCUAGCCCCUCUAUCUCGCGCUCAAGCGAGUGUUAGCAGUUUCCAAAGGCACAGGUUGACACGAUAGGGGAGAUGGCGGGAUGCACAGUUCUCCUUCCUCAUUUAAAUCGACCUAUAGAAUCUAAAAUCGGCGGUACGUGGACCGAAGUGUCAACAAGAUAUGGAGGCUCCGAAUACGGACUUAAGUCUAAAGUAUAUCUGUUGAGCUAUUUCUUAUAAAAAAAACUUCCCUACCAGCUGAAUCCUUGUAAGAUAGAGGAAGGACCGGGGACAUUGCCGUGUAUUGUGGCAGGCAUACAUGCCGAUCAGUGACAUCUAUCACGCUGUAAUCAGCAUUGCCUUAAUGUUUUUAUGGAAUAGGCCCUUGAGACGUCCAGCGGAAUUGUUGACGAUUGUGCACGUAGCUCUUGAAUAGGUGGAAGGGGGGGAACGGGGGCAGAAAGAACAAAGGGACUAGCCGAUUAGCUGCAUGCUGAUAAGCAUAUGAAAGUCGGAACCCCACCUUAUCUUUCGGAACAUCCCAUGGAAUCCGUGCUAGAGUGCAAGGCCUCAGCAGCUUAUCAUUUCUUGGAAAGAAUCUCUAUAUUUUUUUUUUUUCCUUGUACGUUCAGGUUUUUCCGUGUUUUCCGAUAGCCCUGCUGCCUUCAUCCUUGUAGUACUAAUUCAUACUUUUAAUGAAUGAAAGCAAGUAGCGUUCUACUAUCUCUCUAAACAAAAAAAGAAAACAGCCUUUCGCCCUUCUAUUUAUAUAAAAAAUUUUAUACCGAAAAAAUUAUAUAACAUAACUUCUUUGGCCAUCAAAUUAAUUUAUUGUCUAACUGUUUUGUUCGGAUCACGGCUGUAUGAUUAGAAUUUUAAAUAAACUAUAAACUUGAUGGUCACUCAAUCAAACUCUACAGUCUAUAUCGAAUGAGUGGAGAUUCUUGGAUUGAAUGGAAUCGAUUAGUUAAUAAUUUGCAGACAUACGUACGGCUUUCAGAUGUUGAAGAGAGAGAGAGAGAGAGAGAGAGAGAGAGAGAGAGCGAAUGCGUGUAUGAUUGUUCAUAUAUUUCGAGCAAUCAAGUCAGCAACAAAGAUUGGAGUUUUCUCUCUUCUACUGUCUAUCUUCCUUUAUCUGCAAUCAUCAGAUACGAAAUUUAUUCCUUUCGAAGAACUUCGCUCUGUUCAACGAGAUCCAUUUUUACCAUUCUCGUGUCAACUCAUCCAUCUAUUCCGAUCGUCAAAGUCUAUCUGAGUAGUUAAUUGCGAUUUUACAUUUUAAUACUUGUUAGGGCAGCUCGAUAUACAUGAAUUAUCGUGAUCGUUCGACUAAAACCAGUCCGAACGCAGCGAGGACAACUAUGAAAACGUUUCUAAUUACCCUCUAUCCAACAACCUAUACUCCUUGAUGCAUUUGGGGGUAUAGUCAUUAAACUGGAAUCCUAAAAGUUGCUACGUUCAACCAUUCAAUUGAGAGUAAUUUAGAUUGUUGUUCCUCGUAAAUAGAUUGGAGUGUAGCGAAUUACUGGCCUCCCAUUAAUAAGCCUAUCCUGCUGGCCAUUCCAAAAGAAUGAAGAGGCACUCAGCUUNNNNNNNNNNNNNNNNNNNNNNNNNAAUAAAAUAUUCCGGCAAAAAUUAUUUCGUUAUGGCGAAAAUACGGAAGAUAACAUUCGUUAUUCCCGCUUAUACGCCAACCAAACGAGGCUAGAAAAUGUUCACGGAAUAGAUUAGUUUUCAUCCAGUAUAUGUGACGUGAGAGGAUUGCACAGAUUAAUGGUCAAAUCGGGAAACUAUACAGAAAUAUAUAAUGUAAUUGGUCCCAUUGAACGCAUUGGUCCCACUGGCGGGUGGCCCAAAUCUUACAGCAAGCGUGGCGUGGCGUCGGGCGUCCGGGGAUGUGCUUCGGGAAAUUGACCAUUUAGUUUGGCAUUAAAGAAUGAUAAGGUUGGAAUUAAAAUGCCGUGCCGGGACGUAUGAGGGGGUACUUAUCCGUAGUAGAAAUUGGAAAUAAUACGCGUGAUUAAUUUGUAAACUUUUUAAUAGCCGAAUUACGGCCACUAAAGUGAUUUUGUCCAAAAGGUGUACUGUUACGAAAAAAAAAAAGCGUUUUGUAUCCUCCAAAUAAUUAUCAGUGAAAUAUUCGCCGAUUCCGGCGAAAUUCGCUCAAAAUUCGGCGGCCGAGCCAGGCGACGCUCGUCGUUGUCGUCCUCCUCGCCGCGCCCUGGCCCGGCGCCGGAGGCAAGAGGUGCGGCCUACGGUCCUGCCUCACGCCGCGCCAUCUGUUUCGCCCAAAAAACGCCUGGGCGAGUCGGCACGCUCGUCGUUCGUCCGUCCUCCUCCGCUCCGCCCUGGCCCGAUGCGUGGGAGCAGCAAGAGGGCCGCAGUCAGUCCCAUUCUCGCCCCGCCGUCUGCGGCUCUCGUGCGCAGCGUGGCCGCCAGAAAAAAAAAAUGAAUAGAAAAAUCACGGUGUUGGCGCGCUCGCAGGAAAGACCAUGCGCGGUCAAGAGGCCAAUCGGACGGAUGGAGGGAGGGUCCAUGGACCUCGCUUCAUAUAAUAUAUAUAUAUAUAUAUAUAUAUAUAAUUUAAUAUAUAUAUAAUUGUAUUUAUUAAUAUUUUUAAUAAAUUAUUAGUAAUAUAUAUAUCAUAAUUUUAAUAUAAUAAUAUAAAAUUAUAAUAAUAAUAUAUAUAAUAGUAUAUUUAAUUAUUAGAUAUUUAUGUUAUUAUAUAGCCGAAUUUUUUAUUCCGAAUUUUUAAUGGAUAAACGUAUAUUACCCGUAUAAAUCACGUAUCCGAAUAAUUACCGAAUCCGUUUUUUAGUCGUAUUUUUCAACGAAUUUAAAAAUUAGAAGACGAAUUUUAUCGAAAUUAUAUCCGUACCGAAUUUUUGCCGAAUCCGAAUUAACUAACUAUGGUACUUACUCGACCCGAGAUGUCACCGCCCUCUUAACUAACUAUGGUACUUACUCGACCAGAGAUGUCACCGUCCUCCUCGCGUGCGCAUAUUGUUACGACCUAAUUAAGGACCUGGGAGAGGCUCCAUUGCCAUAUAUAUUUCCCUGAGAAUUUUAUUUUGCUUUUGAUCAUUGAUGAGAUCACUCACCAGGUCAAAUCUUGUAUGAAAGUAUGGGGUUUAAAAUAUUCCUUUGGCAUUAUUUAGUUUUUUAAUGCUUUUAAUUAGGGCUCUUUUGAUUGAUGUUGCCUUUUUUUAAAAAAUUAUUUUAAACACUAAUUAUACAUAGUUAAAAAAUUAACAUAAAGAUUCGUUAACUUGCAAUGAAUUCUAACUAAAUAAUGAGUAAUAAUUUAUUGAAAAAAUUAUUAAAAAUAAAAAAUAUUUUUAUUUUUUGUUUUUUAUGUCAAAGUAUCAAACAAAUACUUUGUAUGUAAGAAUUGCGUGCAAUUUGUCAUCCCUUCUCACAUAAAUUAUAUGUAGAAUUUAUAUUUUGAAAAAAUUAAAGAAAUAGUAGCGACGUCUAACGAGGCGUUAAAAUUUUGUUAAUGCACGUGAUUCGAUGAAAUGUUUCAGGCGUAUGCCUCACAUGAAAUAUCUGUUGCGGAGAAAACCUUCUUCCUCUGCGGCAUGCAACUAAAGCAUGGGUACACGAAGAGAACCAAAAAAAAAAAAAAAAAAAAAAAAAAGGAAAAGAAAAAGAUAAAGACCACGAGUCAUCAAACAAAGAUCUUAAAUGGGCGGGCCCGGCCCGACCUUCAUUCUCUUUUGAAACCCCGCUAUAGACAUGCAUCCGGCCGCAUAAAGAAGUGCGUAAAAUCAAAAUGGGCGCCGCGGGCAGAGUCUUGCAUCUUAACCCUUCCUGUUUCUCUAAAUCGUCGCAAUCCGACAACGUCACAACCCUUUCACCGGCGCGGCGCCACCCUACCGCGCCACGCGCCCUCGUUCACAUCAGUAUAAAAAUUCAAAGCAUACAAAAUUAAAAUUUUGGGUUUACAUACUAGUUUAGAUAUCACAAAUUAUUAUUCUUUUGAUUUCGAUAUUAAGAGCGUAGAGGGGGAAUUAACUCUGUGUGUGCAAAGAUAUAUUUAUGUAUAUCUUUGUUUUGAUGAUACGAACCCGCUAUUCAAUCAAUUCACAGAUUUGCAGCUUACCAGGUAGAAACCUUGCUUGUUGAUCAUCAUUGGACGCUCUUCAAAUUGGUGUCAUAUAAAAAAGAGUAAGUUAAGUACUAUAUAUCAUGUAUUAUAUUUAGCGCGUUUGGGGACAAUUCAACAAAUACUCUUAGUAAGAGCGCUAAAAUUAGAGUUAAGUGGCUUUCCAGAGAGAUCACUUGUAUAAUAUUAUAGUUAGAAGCUGCUUGAAUUAGCAUGUCGAAAUUACUUUCUUGUAUUAAUAUGAUAUAGUAAAUAAGUUAGUGUUUUGGUUCGGACGGAAGCAAAGGAGAGAAUAACCUUGUUCCCCCCUUGUGUUCCCAAUCGCAGCGUUAGGUACGAGAACAGUAGUUUUCGAGAUUUUGAACUAGCUGCGGUAUAAGCACUGAACUAUGGAAUUGUUGUUCUUACCUUUUUCCUGGACAAGCUUUGUCGCGAUUGAGAACAAGAUUAUUUAAAUAUAAAUUAAAAUUUUAAUGAUAGUAAACUAUUAUUAAUCAAUUAUUAAUUUGAACUUAUUAUCUAUGCUAAAUAAUAAUAAAUAAAUAACUAAUGAAUUAUAAUUAAUUAUUUAUAAUUAGAUAAUAAUAAUUAUUAAUUUAAUAAUUUAUUUAAAUAAUUAUUAAUUAAAUAAUAUUUAUUAUUAAUUAUAUCUUAGAAAUAAGUUAAUGAUUAUUAUUAUUAAUUUUCUAUAUUAUUUAAAUUAAUAAUAAAAUAAAAGAUUAUUCUAGAUGAUAUUAGAUAAUCGAUAUUAUUGUAAUUAUUAUUAAAUAAUAAUAAUUAAUAAUUAUUAAUUAUUUAUUAAUAAUGUUUUAUAAUUAAUUAUUAUAAUAAUAAUUAUUUUUAUUAAUCUAUUUUAUAAUAAUAUUAAAGUGAUUAAUAAUUAAUUAAUUAAUUAAGAUAAUAUUAAUAAUUAAUUAAUUAAUUAAGUAAUAAUUAUUAUAAUUAUUAUAAUAAUGACUUUAUUACUUAUAAAUAAUAUAAAUUAAUAAUAAUAAUUAAUUAAUAUAAUAGUUAUUAUUAGAUUAUUUUAUUUAAUUUUUUUUUAAUUAUUAUUAUUAUUUAUUUAUUAUUUAUUUUUAAGUAAUAUUUUGAUGUUAAUUAAUUAGAUAAUAUAAUGUUAAUUUCAAAUUAUAACUUUUAUUCCUCUUAUUUCAAUUUAACCAUCCAAACGCUAUUUACCUUAUUCCUAGGAACAACUCAAUUUUCAUCCAAACGUAAAAUUGGUCUAGUUCCUGCUUAUACCUGAACUUGUACCUAUCCCUGGAACAAGCAGUUCUUACUUAUACCUGAACCAAACGCAGCCUAAAAGUACGAGCUCAUUAUAAUGAGGGAAUAAGUAAGAUUGUAAAUAUCAUGAGUAAUUUAUUCAUGUCUUUUUACUAUAGCUUCUGUUUUUCUUUUUAUAUUAAUUUACUAAUGUUUUUCGGAAAUCAUAUUAGGUUGGACCUAACAUUUUCUUGGAUAAAUGGAGAUGGCCUCAAAUAAUCCUCAUCGUACUCAGUUUCCUGUUACAGAGAAGUCGAUAUCCUUAGAUAUCAAGGUCUCUUUCUCUCUCUCCCGAACUAACUUUUAGUAUAAUUGGACUUACGAUGUGUUUAACAUAGUGUAACCUUAUAUAACCUUGUAUCUACAACCGAUUGGCAUGGUAUGUGCCUAACAGCACCAGAUUUGGCAUGAUUCAUUCAUAUAUGAUCAUGAUGUACUUUUAUUUUUGACAUAUUGAUGGGUUUAACGAACACGUAACGGAUUGCAUGAUUUUUUCUUGGUUUAAGUCAUUGAUGAAAACAUGCUUGAAGUGUUUAUUUGUCAUCUUAUUCUACCGGGCCAUGUGGUUUAAGAGUAUCGGGCUAAAAUAAGCAGUUAUUGUGACCAAUUGAUUCCGGUGACGUAGCAGACUGGUUACAGAUUAUGACUGUCAAUGAUAUACACUCCAACUAUAGCUACUGAGUGUGUUUAUUGAAUAGCCUAAGUUCAUUAUUAUGCAUAUUUUUAUUCCAAGCUAGCAUAUUAGUGUAACGCCCCAAUAGUCCCACAUCGGAUGGGAUGCUGAUUCCGAUUACUUAAUAUAAGCCCUACACGCUAGUAAUAAUAAAUGGGCUUAAGUAUUUUGGACUGGUUGUUUGGGCCCAACAAGUUAUUACUGCUGGCAGGUUGGGUUGUUACAUUUGGUAUCAAAGCCGAAUACCAGCCGGAAGUGUGAGAGUUAAGUGCUAUGCGGGACAAAGUACUACACCAACGGGUUUGGUGGGAGCCACCUCUUGAACCCGUAGAAGCCACCUCUAGAAUCUCACAUUGUCUGGCAAUUCUGUUCCUAUUCUGUUUGUAUGUCUGUGAUCUGGUUUGGACCCGACGUGGACGUCAGGGUCUAAACAGGGGGAGUUUGUAACGCUCCAAUAGUCCCACAUCGGAUGGGAUACUGAUUCCACGUCGGGUCCAAAUAGGGAGAGUUUGUGACGCUCGAAUAGUCCCACAUCGGAUGGGAUACUGAUUCCGAUCAGUUUAUAUGAGACCUACACGCUAGUAAUAAUAACUGGGCUUAAGCAUUUUGGGCCGAUGGUUUGGGCCCAACGAGUUAUUAUUGCUAGCGGGCCGGGUCGUUACAUUUGGUAUUAGAGCCGAAUACCAGCCGGAAGUGUGAGAGCUAAGUGUUAUGCGGGACAAACUGCUACACUAACGGAUUUGGUGGGAACCACCUCUUGAACCCAUAGGAGCCACCUCUAGAAUCUCACAUCGCCUGAUAAUUCUGGUUCUGGUCUGUCUGUGACCUGGUUUGGACUCGACGAGUACGUCAGGGUCUAAACAGGGGGGUUUGUAACGCCCCAAUAGUUCCACAUCGGAUGAGAUACUGAUUCCGAUUAGUUUAUAUGAGGCCUACACGCUAGUAAUAAUAACUGAGGUUAAGCAUUUUGGGCUGAUGGUUUGGGCCCAACGAGUUAUUAUUGCUGGCGGGUCGGAUCGCUACAAUUAGUGUAUUGCGGAAUGUUAUCUCAGCUCGCUUGGCAUUUCCUACUAUGCCCUGUGCUUCCUUCAUCCGACUUUGUAGCGUCCUUCCUGUCCGAAUUGCUGAUAGCAUAACCAUUCCGCUUCUUAGCAAAUUUUUCUAUUUAAAAUUUUUGCGUAUUUUAGCCUGAAUUGUUGUUACAUCCUUUCCCUACAAUCAAACAAGGACAAAGCAUGCACCAAUUUGAGCCUAGGGCUGUGGAGAUGUUAGUGUGAUGGAAAGUAUAUAUAAACUUUUGUGCAUGCAAGGCGACAUGAGAAUCUCUUCAUGGCAUUAUGUGUUUGGCAUUGUAGGGAACUAAGAUAGACAUCAUAAUCAGCAAGUAUACAGAUAGUUUUCUGGUGAGUUGUAUCUCAUACUUCAGCACUAUAGCUUUUACUACUGACAUGUUUACAUGAAAAUGUUCUUUCAGGUCAUGGCGACUCAAAUAGGAUCUAUGGGUACCGGUAUUAGGUUUUCCCCCUUUUCAUAUAAAUUUCAUGCUGAAAUUGGUUGUAACUGGAUUUGUCUAUACCUAUCAAAGCCCACACAAGAACUUCGAGACUCCUUCCGGUUCAAAAGCUAUUUGUUGAUUAGCAGGAUAUAUGAGGUACGUUUCCUUUCCAAAUUGUCUAAUUUCAUUUGUUGCUCGAUCGAACUCAAUAUAUCAAUUCACUUUUAAUUGUAUGCCUUAAGUUCCACCCUAGUACGUAGACAAGAGGCUAGUGACUAGUUCAUCGAAUAUGGUUUAUUUACUAGUCAUUACGAUAUAUGAUCUCUCUGUUUAACCGCCGAUGUUAGCAUCUACUUAUGUGAAUGCUUGUUGGGUUAUGAUCAGCUUAUUGUUGUUCUUUUCUGUAGAGAGAUCCGAACAAACCGAAGGGAAAGCGUAGCGUCAAUCAAGAUGAACCUGUUAUUUAUAUAAAGGCAGAAGAUGAAGUAUUUCAUGAGGUAUAUAUUGAAUAUAUACUAUCUUGGAUAUAUACUAUCUUGUAUAUAUAUACUGGACAUAUACUAUCUUGAAUAUAUGCUAUCUGCUAUUUGAUUAUUUUUAAGCUAUUUAUAGUACCCUUCUCAUUUCAGCUCAGCACGUGGUCUUUUACUUUUCCUGUGCAUGCCGAGCAGUUGGUUCCAGACAACGUAAGUUGCAUGUAGUUAUUUAAAGUUAUGCCAUACUUGCUCUUUGUCUUUAUUAUCCAGCCUGUUUUUAUGUUCUUUUUUCUUUAUUAACCAGAUUGAUAAUAUUGAACAUUUAAAAUUUUGAACUUUUGGUCCAUUAUGGAUGGUUUUCACACUUGUCUAAGCAUACUGUGUGUAAGUUGAUCUUUAUUCCGGAAUGUGAAUGGAAGCAAAUGUGAGGUGGAAACACAGAAGGCCUUUGCGCUUCUAAGAGCACCUUAGCAUAGCCCUUGAUAGCAUUGGUAUCCCACUUCUAUCACUUUUUCACCUGUUCGAUGCUUCGCCAUGAUUCACGCAGGUGUGCUUCAUGAUGCAUGCUGUGUUGUGCCUAUCAUGAUUCCCAUCUGUCACUCAUGUAAUUUGUGAUGCAUGUCCAACAGGUGAAAAGGUGAUAGCUUGGUCGUUGUGUUUUAGCUUGUAGGGAAGAGACAUCCUUCUUUAAAGUAAGAAGUGAGCUAACAUUGAAAAAGCCAAACAAGAAGUUUGUAGUUGCUUAAACAAGCUUUUGUAGUUGCCUAAAUGAUAAAUUGUGGAAUUUAUGCUGAAAAGGGAUCAUAUUCACGUCCUGUAAAAUGUAAUUUUCGGCUAUAGAACUAUUGUCCGUUGCUUUUUAUAUUUAUUUCUAUGCUAGAUGCACUUUAUGCCAGAUUGAGCUAAUCUGCUUUCCAAUUUUUAUAAAGGAUCUUUUUGGCAAGAUAUGCAAGUUAUUAUUUGUCAUCAAAAUGCUAGAUUAAUAUUCUAAGGUUGACUUGUUAUUUGUCAUACGUAUUGAAACUUCUUUACAUAUAUUAAGAGAAGUUGUUACUCACAGAAUUUCCAUUCUGAAUAAAAAGUGCUGCGGAGAUUGUAGCAGUCUGUUUUUAUUAUGGUAUUCGAAUAGAUUGCUGCGCCUGCUACUUAACUUUAUUGAUCUGCAUUGAGGAUGCUUUAUACUUGCUGCCAUUUUUUUCCCUUGCACUUGUGAUUAAUUUUUUAUUCUCAAGAAGUUCAAGAAAGCACUGCAGUUAAAUAUGCUGUAUUUGAUAUAUUUCCAGUUCAUUUAUUUGUAUGCUUGAAUAGUGAUCUUAUCUUUGAUUUCAAUUUGCAUCAAUACUGGUACUCAUAUUUCUGUUUUCUGCAGUUGAAGAACUAUAGGCAGAUGGGUCAAGUUCUGGUUGUUAAAGCUGACGAUGUUCCCAAGUUUCGAGAAAAGUUAAAAUCUUUAGUAGCUGCUGAAUCAUGAUGCCUUCAGCAUGAUAAUUUUGGUGUGAAAUAGUUGUUUUAUAGUUCUGAGGGCUAGCUGUUGCCACUUUAUUUGUAGUUGAAAUAUCAAAUCUCAUUUCAUUGUUGCAUUUUGUGCAGCAAACAUAAUUUUCAAGGUGAAGUUUCCUUUUCAAUUGGUUGGCAAGGACAGGAGCUAAAAUUUGUGUGUGUAAUAUCCCUGGACAAGGUAAGUAUUUUGUAGAUUGUCCAAAGAUAGGUGGUGGGACGCAAAAUACUUUUGGCAUUUCAUUCCCUUCCUUUUUGUUUUUGUAGUUGCAGGAUGUGCAAAUCUAUUUUACUUGUAGUUUUAGAGGCUAAACAGAAAAAUGUGCAUGAGCAUUGUAGAUUGAUCGUGCCCUUCGUUAUAAUCACAACAUUUAGGGGAGUUGCUAGUCAUUACAUUGUCUAUUAGGGCUAUUCUGCAAAUAAUUUGCUAUCAUUUUGUAUCAACAAAAUGCUAAUGGUACAUCUUUUUCUAAUUUCCAGUAUCUAUUCUUUCGAAUGAGUGAUCUUUUUGCAAGUUCAGAUGCACUAGAAUUCUCAAGAAUAACCGAGUAUGUUUUAUCAUUGUUAUUGUACUCUAUAUUGAGUAGCGAGUACAUUCCUUGUUAGAGCAUGCGGCCUUUUUUCUAUUGUGAUAUCUUGCUGAAUUCUCUUAUUAGGCGUAGUUUAGAUAUCAGAGUAAGAUAUUUAAUGAUAUCUUAUUCCGUAUGAGAAUUUUCUAUUAUCACUGAAAGCUAGGAGUGUUAUUGUGUAGAAUCGAAUAUAGUAUAUUCGACCUUCAAAUAAUUUUUUUGACAUAAGAUAAAUUAUCUUGUAAAUGAAGUAUAUUAUGCUACCAUAUUGUGGAUGUCAAGAAUUUUUAAGAAGUCGGAUAGAUGGUGUGGGGAUAAGACACUUCAGAGGUCCUUUCCGGAGGUGUAUGAGCGGAGCGAUAGCAAAACUAGGCAGGUUAAGGAGUGCGUUGAAAGAGAGGAGUGGAAUUGGAAUAGGAUUCUGGGGGAUGAGGCUCUGGGUGUGCCCGGCCUGAGCCCCUCUAUCUCGGAGCUCAAAGCGAGUGUUAGCAGGUUUCAAAUAGGGCACAGGUUGGACACGAUAGGGUGGAGAUGGGGGAGCAGCAGUUCUUUCUCAGUUAAAUCGACCUAUAGAAUGCUAAAUGAUGGGGGUACGGUGGACGGACGUGUCAACAAGAUAUGGAGGCUCCGAAUACCACUUAAGGUCAAAGUAUUCUGUUGGCUAGUUCUUAAGAAAAGAACUCCUACAGCUGAGAUCCUUGUUAAGAGAGGAUGGACUGGGGACAUGGCCUGUGUAUUGUGCAGGAUACAUGCCGAGUCAGUGGACCAUCUAUUCACCUAAUGCAUCUUCCUUAAGUUUUUUAUGGUAAUAGGCCUUGAGGACGUCCAGGCGGGGGAUUUGGGUGACGAUGUGCACGUAGUCUGGAAUAGGUGGAAGGGGGGGAACGGGGGGGCAGAAUAGAAAAAAGGGACUAGCCGAGUUAGCUGCAUGCUGAUGAAGCAUCUGGAAGGUCAGGAACAACCUUAUCUUUCGUGACAUUCUGCUGGAUUCCGUGCUAGAGGUGCAAAGGCUCAAGCAGCUUAUCAUUUCUUGGAAAGAUCUCUUAUGAUUUUUUUUUUUUCCUUGUACGUUCAGGUGUUUUUCUCGUGUUUUCCGAAGCCCUGGCUGCCUCAUCCUUGUAGUCUAAUUCAUACUUUUAAUGAAUGAAGCAAGUAGCGUGCUACCUAUUCUCUCUAAAAAAAAAAAGAAAAAACUAGGCCUUUGCCUUCUAUUUAUAUAAGAAAAUUUUUAUACCGAAUAAAUUAUUAUAAGAUAACUUAUUUUGCCAUUCAAAUAAGUUCUUAUUGUCUAACUUGUUUUUGUUCGGAUCACGGGCUUGUAUUGUAGUUAUGAAUUUAAAUGAACUAUAAACUUGAUGGUCACUCAAUCAAGAACCUUCUAGGCUUCUAUAUCGAAUGAGUGUGAGAUUUUGGAUAUGAAUGGGAAGUCGAUUAGUUUAAUAAUUUGCAGACUUACGUAGGCUUUCAAGAUGUUGAGAGAGAGAGAGAGAGAGAGAGAGAGAGAGAGAGAGAGUGAAUGCGUGUAUGUAUUUGUCAUUAUAUUUUCGAGCAAUCAAGCAGCACAAGAAGAGUUGGUUUUUCUCUCUUUCUACUUGUUUCUAUCUUCCUUUUAUUCUGCAAUCAUCAGAUAGAAAAUUUAUUCCCCUUUCGGUAGGACUUUCGCUCUGUUCAAACUGAGAUCCAUUUUUAGGGUUCUCGUGUCAAGUCAUCCAUCUAUUCCUGAUGUCAAAGUUUUCUGAUUUGAGUAGUUAAGUUGGAUUUGAGUUUUAAAUACUUGGUUAGGCAGCUGGGAGCUUCAGUUGGAAUUUAUGUGAUCAGUUCGACCUAACACCGAGUCGAAGCAGCAGCCGAGGGACAACUUAUGGAAACGUUUCUAAUUACCUCUAGUCAACAAGCUAUAUCCUUGAUGGCAGUUGGGGUAUAGUCAUUUAAACUGUGUGAAUCCUAAAGUUGCUACGUUCACCAUUUCAUUGAGUAAUUAGAUUGGUUGUUCCCGUAAAUAGAUUGCAGUGUAGCUGAAUUACUGGCGCUCCCAUUAAUAAGCUAUCCUGCUGGCCCAUUCCAAAAGAAUGAAUGAGGCAGUCAGGCUUCUGGAGGAAGCUUAUUAAUUUGAUAAAAAAGCCUCUUUUUUUAUGUUUUCGUUUCAUUUUUUUGAGAGAGGUAGCAGACCAUCUUCUUUUUCUUUUUUUGAGAAAUAAAUGGCUAUUUAUUAGUGCAAGCGAAUAAAUAAGUGGAUAAAUACAAGCAAAAAGUUUAGUGGGUAUCGAUGUUCUAAAGAAUCUACUUUUUAAAUAUGAAUCGAGAGUUGGAUGGCAUCCGCAUAAGAAAUUAUAUAGCUCUUUUUAGCUUCCCGGUGGACUCUGAUCAGCUUGAUAAAGUACACAUCUAACUUGCUAGAAAUUUACAGGCCCAUACGGUACUUUUCAUUUUUUAUUGACAAAAAGAUCAGACUGAAUGGGCCGAAAAGGAGAGGAAGCCAAGUGGUGAGUGGAGUGGAGCUGAUAAUAAACUGUUAUGAAACUUUUAAACUGACUAAUCAGAAGCAUUAGUGGUGAAGUCUCCAUGAUUUCAGGAAUUCACUAACGUAACAACUUCACCUAGUACGAUGGGCUGCGCACGACAGAUCGAUAAAGCCCGAUAAAAAUCCUUCACAUGGGUGCAAAUUAUUCAGUUCCCGAUAGGAAUCUCCACAUCUGUUCAAACGAUCCCGUUCCCACGUUUCGGUACUACACGUCUUUACUAUAAAUCUUAUAUCAAAAGGUCCACGAAGAGACAUUAUUUAUCUAUUUUAUAAACCCACAUGCGCACCUUAUUAAUUUAUUGGCUAGCUUCUGAUAGCUCCAAGGACAAGGCAUGCACGCAUAAACAAGAAGAUAAAAUCGUGGCCUAUCAAUAACCCCAAACAUUGACCACCCUGCACACGAUCAGUUAGUCAUGAUAGUUUAAUAGCGUCUAAACUAUGCACACCGCACUAAUCUGACCGUCCCUAGCACAAAUAGCAAAGGAGUUGGUGGUUGAUAUUCAAGACUCAAAUUCGAAUUCUAAUUGAUUCACAUUUUCAGCUAAAUUUAUUUCUAAAUAAAAUAAACGAAGCGAGUAACAUGCUAACUUUCUCAUAAAUAUAUAAAUAUAUAUAUAUAAAUAUUGUGCACACCCGCGAGAGAAAGAGAGGUUGAAAACAAGGAAAAACAGAAAAAAGCUCACCAAUCCAAGCCGUAAUAGUAGCAGUAUAUAACCACACCAAGUAUCCAGUACACGGAGAUCGCCACAGUAGUAGCAGUAGUACAUCACCAACAUGCAUAUACGUACACGCACGGAACGAUACAAUGCAUCCCAUAAAAUAUGCGUGCACUCUACUAGUGCAACUAGUGCUGCUUAUUCUUUACUAAUGCCACUCCUAAUUAAGUAAGAACUGGUGGCGGUGGGGCCUGCACGAAACCUAGCUAGUGGGUGGCAGGGUGGGCCCCAGCGCCCCACGGGUUUAGUUGAGGCCCGGUUGGUGGGGAGGCUUGUCGACGUCCUCGAGGGGGCGGAACCACACCUCCUGGUCCAGCACCGUCGACCCGCCACCAUCCCCCGCCGCCACAGCAGCUGCGUUGCCCGGCCCGUCCUUCGUUCCCGCGGUGGCGGUGGCGGCGGCGGCGGGCCCAAAAACGCCUGUCGUAGGGUGCGGGCCCCAGUACUUUUCCGACUCACAAGUUUCGAUCACAUGGUCCGGCACCACCACCGGGUGCACCAGAUCCUCCUCCACGUUCUUGUCGUACGAUGACGAGUACACUGCCCUCCUGCACAUAAUACUUAAUUUUUAUUAAAAAUAAUUAAAUUCUAAAUAUUUGGACCAAGGGUUAAUGCAAUCUUUCAGCCCUCUUAAGGUUUGUACCAUUAUUAGCAUUUCUCAUCUUAAAAUAAUUUGGACGGACAAAAGAGCAAUGAUACUUCUGUAAUCACUUUUUGAUGAUAACUCUAUAACUCUAAAUUACAAAAAUCCAUAAUUAUUUUACUAGUUUUUAUCAACUUUUUUUUACUACCAAAACAAUAAUAAAAAAUAUAUAUUACCGCCGAUCGUUCCUGGCGCAAGUGACAAAGAAUUUAUUGAUUGGUAUUUGAGAUUUCAAGUUCGAAUUUUAAUGGAUUCAUAUUUUUCGCUAAGUUCAAUAUCCAAAAUUUCAAAUUUAAAUUCUAAUUAAUUCACAUUUCAGCUAAAUUUACUUUUUAAAAAAAUAAACUUAGCGUUAGCAUACUACUUUACAGAGGGAGAGGAAGCUGUUUUGUCCUAUGAGAAAAAUUCUAGAAUGCAACGGGUAUAUUAGUGACGUGACGUAACAAACUAAUCAAAUUAAUCUUUUUAAAAAUAUAUGUUCCAUCAUGAUUAUAAAAAAAUAUUUGUAUUAUACUUUUGUUUAAAAAAAAAAAUAAUUAAUUUGUUAUUGAUAACGUGGUGCAAAUUGUGACAGUGUAGAAUUUCUCGUCCUAUGGGGCCAGCAGGGGCAUUUUCGAAAUAAAUAUUCGUCGGAGAACAUCGGGGCAGGCGCCAAGAACGUGACUGGAACUGGAAAUCGAGAUGGAUAAGAGCAAAUCUCACUCGUACGCGUGGCCUCCGAUGGAGCCGAUGGAGAGACCAAAAUGCCUCCUCGAUAGAGGACGAGAAAGGUUGGUGACUACCAGACGAUCAGGGCCGUUGCUUCUGCCUGUAGGACCGCAAGUACCCAUCUCACGGCUCGCGUCUUAGUCAUCGGUGCGCCUCUUAAACGGAGGGAAAGAAUCGUACGGCAGACAUGGUCCACCUCAAAAAUGCGUGCGGGGUAAUCGAGGGGGCACACAAAUCCACCGUCCAAUCAGCCUCCAAAUGAAAUCAGGAUCGUCAAUUAACGGACGGCACGAUCAAUCACCCGAGAGGUUAAAGCGACGGGGCGUGUUCCCUCUCCGGAUACCUCCUAGUGAACUCCCCCAGUGUUUUUCUUUUCUUUUUUUUUCUUCUGUCGUUUUGUGACUGCUCUCUCUCCAGGGAGUGCGAAAGAAAAGGAAAGAAAAGACGGAAAAGAGUACAAAGAAGGGGAAAACCAGUACGGAGACAAAACAAGGACGAAAAUAUCUCUGAGAAUUAGUAGAGAUGGCAAAAUUAGUGCGGAUAAAGAAACAAAGGACUUUGUGUGGGAAAUAUCAUCGCCACACACUGAAAAAUAAAAAAAAAUAAAGGAAAAGACAGGGAGGGUGGGGGGAGGGGGGGAAGGGGGAGUAAAAGAACUCUACUGGAGAUGUCCUUACAGAGUUGCAUUGCAUCUCUGGUAAAACAGAAUAGAUCCCCUCGAAAUUUCAACUCUAAGAUCCACAAAAGCAAGAGAACCUCAGAAAAAGGAAAACUAAUUGAUAUAUAUCACUGCUUAUAGUUGAUACUUAGACUGUGGAAGCAAUCAUGGUAAUAGCACCGAUCGCUAAAACAAACAUAACAGCUAACACAUCAAGAAGCAAAAAUCACCAAAUAAUUUCACAACAUCAGAUGCUUAAAAAAAAAAUAAAAAAAACCUACAACCAGUUAUACCAGUGCUUAAUUAGCAUAUAUUGAUCCAUGCGACUAAAAGCAACUAAUAUAUUAAUUAGCAGCGAUCAGUAGAGCAAAUCUAAGAAUUAACACACGGAGAGCAGCUAAAAAAAUCGGUUGAUCUCAUGAGAUCAUAACAAAUGCUGAGCAAUUAGGAGGUGUACCUUGAAUCCGACGCGGCAGAAACCGCGAUCGGAGAAGGAUUUCGAGAGGCCCAGAUCUGGUUCACAAAUCGCUUCCCGAAGCUUCCCGCGAUCGCUCGCCCCUUCGAAUUAGCGGCCAUGCAAAAGAAAGGAGUGAAAAUAGCAAAGCGAGAGGGAGAGAGAGAAGGAAAGCAAAAGCGAAAACGAAAAGGAAUGGGAUAGAGAAUGAGCCCUUUUCCAUUGGUAGCAGCCGCUAUUUAUAGCCUCGCCCACACUCGCUCCAACCGCCCACCUACCCGCCCCGUUUACUACGCCGUUAACGUUUUCCGUCCCUUCUAUUGACGGCGCUCCUAACGGCGUUAGCGCGGAGGCAAGCCACGUGAGUGGAGGUGGAGCGAAUAAUUUGGAGCAUAUUCUACACAGUUCGAAGCGUCCCUCCAGAUACUAUUGGUCUCCUGCUAGUGUAUGAAAUUUACCAAAACGCCCCGCGAUGUUUGGUCUCGUCACUGGCACGGUGAUACACUGAUCAUGUAGCUAAACUAAACGACAAAAAUAAACAGUUACAGUUACGGUGAAAUAAGUAUGUCCUAACCUUAAUCUCAGCUUCAAAGCUAUAAAAUAAAUUGGCAUUGUGAAUCUGUGAUUAUUAUUUACUUAUUAUUAUUAAAAACGAUUGAUCUCAGGCUCUUAAACGAGAGUAAGAGAUACCUAUCAACUUUCGCGGCAGCGGGGACAAGCUUUACAAUGUGGUUCAGUAGUCCAAAUGCUAAGUACUCAUAAUGAUAAGUUUAUGCUGCCAUUGGCAUCUAGCACGAGAAAAGUUAUUCAUUCAUUGGAUUAGUAUGCAUUUGUUCUCCAAGGCACGGUCAGAUAAGAGAAGAAUGAGGGGUCACCUCUCACUUUAUAUCCACAAAUCAAGUACUAAGGGUGGGAACACACUGUACGUUCCCACCCUUCCUAAGGGAUAUUUAAAUUAACGAAUUUGUAGAUCUAACGUAACUCAAGUGCAGUUGUGUUUGAAAUUUUUUAAAGGUGAUUAUUUUUUUAUUGUUUAUUUUAAUGUAACUCGUAAAUUUUGAUACUUAAAUUCAAUUACUUUCUUUGUUUAUUUUGAUAUAACUUGGUUUUGAUGAAAUUAGUUUUUUAAAUUUUAUUGUUUAUUUUGAUAUAAGUAAGUGGAUAUAAGUAAUUGAAUUUUGAUAUAAGUAAGUGGAUUUCGUUAUUUCAUAAAUAUAGUGGUAGAUUUAUUGCUAUAAAAUUUAACCUAUUAAAUAAUUAAAAUUUUUAUUAUUAUUUAAAAGUAAUCCUAAUUUAUUAUAAAUAAAGUAAUUCUAACCCAUUAUAAAGGAAGUAGAGUUUAGGUUUUACUAUUUAAUAAAUUUUUUAAAAAAAUUGAGUGUGGCGGAAAUCGAGCUCGGCACUUUAGAAGGAGAAGUCGAGAGUAGGUAAAUUGAAGGUUUAACGUAACUUGAGUUACACUAUAUUUUUAACUUAUACCAAAAUAAAUACCAAAAGUAAUGAAACGUAAGUUUCAUCCCUCCACUUGUACCAAAACAAAUAGCCCUUAAAGUGUAGGGGUGGGAAUAACAGUUCUAACCGCUAUUUUUAUUUUCAAAAUUUAAAAUUUAAAAAAUAUUUUUUAUUUUUUUAUUUUAAAAAUUUAUAAUUUGUAAUUUCAAAAUUUAAUUUUAGAUUAUAAAAUUUACAAGUUAAAAUUUUAAAUUUAAAAACAUAAAUAUAAAAUUUAACAAUUCAAAUUCAAAUAUAAUAAAAGGUUAAUAUCAUUAUUUUUUAUUUAUAACUAUUCACAAUUUUUUUUAUUUCAUCUUCUCUAUCCAAAUACUAUUUUUCUUAUUCUCAGAAACAACCUAAUUUUUAUUCAAACACAAAAUUAGUUUAAUUCUUAUUUAUACAUGUAUUUAAUUAUACCUAUCUUUGAAAUAAGCAAUUUUUACUUAUUCUCAAAUGGAACAACGCCCAAUUGUAUUAUUUGUUGGUUUUAGACUAAAUAUGUGAGUGUGGUAUUAGAAAAAUUGAAAAUUUUAAGUUGAUUUUCUUUGUUCCAAAAAACGGAAGAGUUUAUUUGGAGUGUUUUAACUUUAGAAACUUCUUUUUGUACUGUUGUAAUGGAAUCCUCCUAUCUUUUUGUAUUAUUGAAAAGUCUUUUCAGAAUGACUAUUGCCAAAAAUAGAGGAAUAUAUACUAAAGUGAUACUCGACAUUGCGUGAGGAAAUUAAGACCAAUGACUAGUUGUUUGCUUUGUCCAGCUUGCAACGGUAUAAUUUCUUCAUCUUUCUAAGUUAACUGUAGAGAUAUACAUUUUCUUUAGAUAUGUGCUACAUCCAUGCUCAAAUUUGUGUAAUUCAUUUGAAAUUGUAUAUAAUAUUCGACUGCAAUUAUUAUUGUGUCAUCAAUUACUACUAGAAUCAAGACUAGCAGCUUUGAAUAGAAUUGUUAGAGGGAGUCCUAAUAAUUUAUUCUUUAAGCAUGCUUCUAUUUGAGCUACAUUCCUGAACUUUUAAAAACGGAAAACUGCGACCAUCUCUUUUGUAACUGCAUCUUCUUCAGAUUCCUACUACUCUGUAUCGAUGAACUGGAGACACCUGAGCACACCACGAGUGAUGUCCGAAAUCUCUAGAUCGGAGCUUCAGCCAACCCCAUCAAGUCGAAGAGGUCAGUUUGCUUGACCCUUCUGGCAGCGAUCUGGUGGGUGGUCUGGAGGGAUAGAAAUCACUCUAUCUUUCGUGGAUCGGUACCCAACGCUUCUCGUUCGCUAGAGUGUGUCAAACUACUCAUGAGUAGCUGGUCAGCCGUGCUGUAAAGUGCUCCUUACUUUCUUUUCUUAUUUUCUUUAUUUCUUUUCUUUCCCUGCCUCCGCCCUUAUCUUUUGCUUGUCACCCCCCCUCCAUUUUUUUGCCUGUAUCUCGGAAGUCUUAGCUACUUCCAACAUGUACGCUCAGUUCAUUUAACUUAAUGAAUGAAGCAGGUAACUUGCUACCUAUUUCUCAAAAAAAAAAAAAAAAGCUGUAUUUUCUGAAUUAUCGUACUGCUGUAAAAUAACAAAGGAAAAAUUAUGUUAUACUUAGUUCUAGAAGUAUUUUUUAUAUUUUCCCCCAGCUUCUUUUUCUUUGGUUUUUUCUGAAAAAAAAUCCACCUAUAAGGUCCUUUUCUAAAUUAUGUCAGCACUUUCCAGAAAAAUCAAGAGUCCGUGCCAAGAGAAUUUGUUGGAAAAAGAAUUAAAUAAUUACUCACGAAAAUAUAAAUUUUUUUUUUGAGAUGUAGGUAGCACGCUACCCGCUUAAUUUAUUUCAUUUAGAAAUAAAUUUAGUUCGAAAUGUGAAUCAAUUAGAAUUCGAACUUGAGUCUCAGGUAUCAACUAUCAAAUUCUUUGCCGCUUGCUCUAGAAACGAUCGGUCUCACAAAAAUAUAAUUAUUAUCUUCUUUAAAAUAAGUUGUUC